UGCCUGCCCUCUUGGGGCCAGACCCAAGCUGGGCACUGGGACCUUGGUGGUUGCAGCCAUGAGCCACGCACUAAUCCUCAGACCUAAAUGUGGAAAGCAUUAGCCCAAAUGAAAAGACAUAAAUCAGGAACGGGAGCUAUGGCACAGAGGAAAACAGCCCUUCUCGGGGAGCGAGAGCCCGCACCGUUGCACAAGAGCCGAAUCUCUGAACCUCUGGACCGACAGAUCUAUUCGAGAACGCUCUUCUAUCCACCAGAGAGGCCACAGGCCCACUCGCUGGUUGAGAAAAUACGGUUGAAUGAGAGACUCCAUGUUCAGCCACACAAAUAUUUUUAGAUCUCUUGAUCUGAAUGCCUGUGAAUGGAAGCGUCCCCACCAGGCUGCCAUGGGCUCAACACUCCUCUGAGUCACCUGACAGACCCGGGAAACCAAGGAAGUCUGUUUUCUUUUUAGAAAAAAUUUUUUUAAGUUUGAGAGGGAGAGAGAGACAGAGCUCGCAAGCAGGGAGGGGCAGAGAGAGGGGAGAGGGAGAACCCCAAGCGGGCUCCACGCCAUCAG